AUUGAACGCUAGCGGGAUGCUUUACACAUGCAAGUCGAACGAGUGGCAGACGGGUGAGUAAUAUAUCGGAACGUGCCCAGUAGCGGGGGAUCACUACUCGAAAGAGUGGCUUAUACCGCAUUAUAUUGUGGCGGCCGAUAUCGUUAUAGCUAGUUGGUGGGGUAAAGGCUCACCAAGGCAACGAUCCGUAGCUGGUUUGAGAGGACGACCAGCCACACUGGGACUGAGACACGGCCCAGACUCCUACGGGAGGCAGCAGUGGGGAAUUUUGGACAAUGGGGGAAACCCUGAUCCAGCCAUCCCGCGUGUAUGAGAAGGCCUUCGGGUUGUAAAGUACUUUUGGCAGAGAAGCGGUAUCUGCAGAAUAAGCACCGGCUAACUACGUGCCAGCAGCCGCGGUAAUUC
rnacentral:rRNA from 1 species